rnacentral:rRNA from 1 species
AUUGAACGCUGGCGGCAGGCCUAACACAUGCAAGUCGAACGGUAACAGAAAGCAGCUUGCUGCUUGCUGACGAGUGGCGGACGGGUGAGUAAUGUCUGGGAAACUGCCUGAUGGAGGGGGAUAACUACUGGAAACGGUAGCUAAUACCGCAUAACGUCGCAAGACCAAAGAGGGGGACCUUCGGGCCUCUUGCCAUCGGAUGUGCCCAGAUGGGAUUAGCUUGUUGGUGGGGUAACGGCUCACCAAGGCGACGAUCUCUAGCUGGUCUGAGAGGAUGACCAGCCACACUGGAACUGAGACACGGUCCAGACUCCUACGGGAGGCAGCAGUGGGGAAUAUUGCACAAUGGGCGCAAGCCUGAUGCAGCCAUGCCGCGUGUAUGAAGAAGGCCUUCGGGUUGUAAAGUACUUUCAGCGGGGAGGAAGGGAGUAAAGUUAAUACCUUUGCUCAUUGACGUUACCCGCAGAAGAAGCACCGGCUAACUCCGUGCCAGCAGCGGC